rnacentral:rRNA from 1 species
CCUACGGGCGGCUGCAGUGGGGGAUAUUGCACAAUGGGGGAAACCCUGAUGCAGCGACGCCGCGUGAGUGAAGAAGUAUUUCGGUAUGUAAAGCUCUAUUAGCAGGGAAGAAAAUGACAGUACCCGACCAAGAAGCCCCGGGUAACUACGGGCCAGCAGCCGCGGUAAUACGGCGGGGGCAAGCGUUAACCGGAUUUAUUGGGUGUAAAGGGGGAGUAGACGGUUAUGUAAGUCUGGAGUGAAAGCGCGGGGCCCAACCCCGGGACUGCUUUGGAAACUGUGUGACUGGAGUACAGGAGGGGCAGGCGGAAUGCCUGGUGUAGCGGUGAAAUGCGUAGAUAUCAGGAGGAACACCGACGGCGAAGGCAGCCUACUGGACUGAAACUGACGUUGAGGCUCGAAAGCGUGGGGAGCAAACAGGAUUAGAUACCCUGGUAGUC